UCUAAAGGAACACAACCUAUAAUUGGGACAAUCCCUUUUCUCAUUCCUAAGAGGUGAUGUGGCCGGGGCGGGACCUCCAGACCUCCAGCAACUGUGACUGGCACUCUCCCCGCGAUCAGCAAGUGCUACCUUGUCCUUUCCCUAGCGUUGUACAGUUUACGAAAUCAACUAACACGUUGAUUUCAUCUUCCCAGCAACCUAGGGAGGCAAAAAUGCUCAUCUCCCCCAUCCAAAACACCCCAGAAGAUCAGAGAGAUGGAGAAAAGAAAAGGCGUGGCUACGAGCUGUGGUGGGGAAGGCGGGUGGAAUCCUGCAGCCUGAGCUGGAAACCGCUACCCGCUCAGCAGUGACCCAGUGUAUUUAUUCGCACCGGGAGGGGCAGCUGGCGCACAGAGGGCAUGAAGACUCUCCUCGCUCUCACACUGCAGGCAGCUAAGUCGCUGUGAAAGACGGCAGCGUUACCCCCGACCCCGUCGCCCCCGACUCGCUCCCACCACCCCGACUUGCUAGUUCCACAACCCUAGAGCUGCCAGCGCACGCCAGUCCCCUUCGCUACUCCGCCGGAAGUCCCGCCUGCGCCGUCGACGCGCCCCAUUGGGUCGGAUCCUGGGGCAUCACCGCAGAUGCGCCUUCCCUGGUGUGAGCUCUGGGCGGCCACGACUAGCCCCAGAUGGGGCCAGGUUUGAGGCCCGCGAAGGCGCGGGGCCUCACGCGGCAGACGGGCUCAGUGGCGCGGGACAGGGAGCGCCUGGCCGGUGGCGGGACUUCCGCCACGGGACCCGGAAGGGGCCGCGCCGCCGUUACUGGGAGUUGUAGUCUGACAGCUGUUGGGGCACCGGCGGCUCGUGCGCGGUGCCCAGAGGCUUGUUUCAAAAUCUGUAGCAGGUGAAUUGGGGUUUUUAUUCUGCCCUUUCGUGCCCUCUUGAGGAGUCUGCCGCGGCCAGGUUUGUCAGCGCGAGGAGAGGACCCGGUCGGACCGCCGGCCAGGCGGAGAGUGGGCCGGAGAAGCCGGCGGGCCCGAGGAGCAGGCCGGGCAUCCUUGCCCUGCCUGGGAAGCCGGGCGGGCCUAGGUUUGCCGUUGCCAUGGAGACCGGUCAGCCGGGCCUUGCCGCCAGGGAUUCCGCAGAGGCCGCGAGAAAGGCCGUUUCGUUGGCGCAACGACGCCCUCGCCUCAGGGGAUGCUCCGUUUCCCCAGGCAGGGCCUUGAGGAAGCCUCCAGAGUGAUUCCAGCUUUCCCUCCUGGCCAGAGUGUUCAGCCUGGACUCAUUCAGAAAAGGGUGAUUGAGGUCCCGGAGGACAGACAGCUGCAAAACAUGAUUGAGGUCCCAGAAGACAGACCGUUGCAAAACGUGAUUGAGGUCCUGGAGGCCAGAUGGCUGCAGGAGUUGGAUGAGGUCUCAGGGGACAGACAGCUACAGGAGGUGGAUGAGGUCCUGGCAGACAGACAACUGCAGGAGGUGGAUGCAGUCCCGGAGGACAGACAGCUGAAGGAGGUAUUUGAGGUCCUGGUGGAUGGACAGCUAUAGGAGGUAGAUGAAUUCCCGGAGACAGACAGCUUCAGGAGGUAACUGAGGUCCCAGAGGACAGACAGCUACAGGAGUUGGAUGCGUCCUAGAAGACAGACAGCUUCAGGAGGUAAUUGAGGUCCCAGAGGACAGACAGCUGGAGGAGGUGAUUGAGGUCCCAGAGGACAGACAGCUGGAGGAGGUAGAUGAGGUCCCGGAGGACAGACAGCUUCAAGAGGUGAGUGAAGUCCCAGAUGACACUCAGGUGGAGCAGGUGGCCGGCAGCCUAUCAGUGGUUCUGAAGGGCCAGCCAUGAAGUAGAAAAAGUAGUGCAAUUCUGACAAAGAAUGAGGCUCCCCUUCAGCCCUAUUGACCUGCAAGGCAGAAGGAGGCAAUGUUUUGAAAUAUAUUAAUUUGAUGGACAGAAGCACCAACACAAGCUGCACCUUAUAACACAGGUGAUAGUCCCUUGUACCUCCCCCUUCUCCACGUUUCAAAAUAGCAGCAUCAGUGCCAUAAAGUUUCCCUUCCACUGCGUCCUGCCAGCAGGGGAGUGAAGAAAAAAUCAUGAGGACAAACUGCUGUCCUCACAUGCCACUGUGUCUGCCUGCAAAUGUAGGCAGGCUGGGGGCCUGUCCCAGGGAAGGCAAAGACAUUGCACAGUAAUAAAGAAGCAUGUUUUUGGGCCGGGCGCGGUGGCUCAUGCCUGUAAUCCUAGAACUUUGGGAGGCCGUGGUGGGUGGAUCACCUGAGGUCAGGAGAUCAAGACCAGCCUGGCCAUCAUGGUGAAACCCCAUCUUUAAAACAAAAAAAAAAAAGAGAAGCAUAUUUUUGACACAGGGAUAUCUAUGUAUAUCCUCAUUCCUCCCUCACCACCAUCACAGGAGCAUGUUCCUUGCAUCACAAAGAGAGGAAUAAAAAGCCCCUGUCCACACGAGUCGCAGCUACUCUUAAGAAUGUUUUUGAGGCCUUUCAUGUUCUGUCUCUGAU